UAUUACGUUGGUUCUAGUACGAUCACCGCAGUUAAGCAACGUCGAGCCUGGUCAGUACUGAGAUAGGGGACCGCUUGGGAAUACCAGGUUCUGUAA